GUGCAUUUGGUUAUUUCUACAGCUGAUGGAAAUUAGUUUCAUUGUUUUGUAUGCUUACUAUAUUUUAACUAAAUGUUAACCUUGGGGAAUCCUUUUGCCUCAGUCUGACUUCAGUCACCUGUUUAUCUGUGGUUGUUGGAUAAUUUAUGAGAAUGUUUAGCCCUGUGCUACCGGUGGUUACAAAUGUUUUUCUUCCAGUUGCUCAUCUUCUCAUGAUUUGAUCUACACACUAUGCAUCAGCUAAAACUAAUGCAUUCUAAUACAACAGCCCUCCAACUAUUUCUCCCUCCUUCUCUUAGAUCAGGGAAGUCGACAGCCCAUAUAGAAAUUGGCCAAUGCUACCCCUAGAGUGGAUUUACUCGCAUGAUGAACUUUACUUAUUGCUUGUGAUCUCCUCUCAGACUGCUAUGGCUGGUUCCACACCUGCAGAAUCAAGGUGAACAUUGGAAAACUAACACUUCCAAAUGCUUGCCAGAGUCACUAGAUAUCUUCACUGCAAGAUGAAGACAACCUUUAGGUUAAAGGGCAACAUCUGACUUCAUUUCAUGGAUCAAGAUUUUGGCAAUUGCUUAAAUUCUACCACUGCAUUUCAGGGACAAGUAGGAGGCCAAACAGGUUAGUUGAUGUCUAAAAUGUUUGACCUCCCUUUGUGGAAUGCCUGUGAGAAAUUGAGUAACUUAUCAGUUGCAGAUAAUUUCAUUUUUGUUCAAUAUUCUAUUGUCAUUUACUAAUUUGAGUUGGUUCAAUAUGCGAUGGGCAAGAAACCUGGUGGCGACCGUGGUGCCAUGAAUACAAAAAGGACACCACUGCAAUUGCUGAUUAUGGGCGGUCGACCUCAACUGACCGAACUGUCAAGGUCAAAGGAGGCUCAUGGAUCUUGGAGAAGAUGGGCGAGGCCUGGGUUCUUAAUAAAGUACGGUCCAGAGAAGGCAACCGGGUCCUGCCUCGGGCUCCCUAGGAGUGGCCAAGCAACUUCAGCCUCCUGUGAAAAUUGCCAGCUGAUGAGAGGGGCAAGCAACUUUAGCCUACUGUGGAAAUUGCCUUAUGCUCCUGCCAACUAAGCGAG
ensembl:lncRNA